UAAAGACUCAAUUUCCUGGCCUCUCCAGCUUUGCGUCACCCUGCUUAAUGAUAUUUCAACAUUGAAAGUAUCCCAGUUGCGUCUUCUGAAGCUGAGUCUCCUGUUUUAUGGUUCAUCCAAAUGUGCAGUGCUCAUCUGACUCGCUCAUCACCAUGCAGUGGGGCUGCAUGGAUGAAGCUAAUUUGUGCCGGGCCUAUUUGGAAGCUGGUGUUCCCGUCAUGAAGACUCAGAGGAGGCUUUAGUGAGCAAUGAGAACAGUGCCUGGUGUGUGGGAAGUUCUCAGUGAAGGUCAGGAACUGUGGCGCCGCUGGAGGUGGUCUUUACCAUUAUGAUGAUAUUGAGCCUUGCUUAAGACCAAAGGAGAGCUGGAUGGUAAAGACUCCCCUGAGAAUGGGCAAACGAGUUGCAGAUCAAGUAUCCUGGCCACAAAGACAAGGAGAGGAUCAGGCCCGAAGCUCCAGGCCUGGACACGCCCCGGAGGAGAAAUGAGCCUCGUGGUUAGUAACAGAGCCAAGCUUCCUUUGUCUAACCUUUCGCUGGAAUUAAGAGCUUUUCACAUUUCAGUUGACUUGAGAACAGACAGGGAGCCCCAAAUCAGAAGCAGAUUGGAGCUGGUGAGCAGGGAAAUGACACUUCAGCCUCUAAAACGCAGCAGCUCUGUUUGUCCCUUGCUUCUGACCCCAGCAGCCUCUUUGCUCCCUCUCUUCUCCCUACUCCAUAGAAGGCUUCUCUCCCCUUCUCUGAGACUCUGCUCUUAAAGCAGCAGGUGCCCGAUUCCAGUGGACUCUCUCCACUGUGGAAUGUAUCAGAGCAGGGGCAGCACCUUCCCCAGCAACACACCCUAUCACCUUUGAUCCUUUGCCAUUUGCACUAUGGGUUUUCAUUUGACCCAGCGGUCUGAGUUUGCUCCAGUAUUUGUGUUUUUGUGUUUUUCUUUCCUAUGCUUCUCUUUCCCUCCCUGCCCCUCCUUUAUGCUGUGGCCUAAGUACACUGAGCUUCUUCCUUUGUUUGUAUGACAGAGGAUUCCUUUUCAUUCGUCAGGAUGUUAACUAUGCAUACCACAAAAAAAUUGAAGCACAAAGCACCAAAAGAAAAUGAAGAUAGAAAAAUCUAGUGGAUUUGGAGGUGAAAGAAAGCAAACUUGCACCCAGUUUUCCAAACCUUAAACAGAUUUAUUUUCUUGGCCAAGUUCUCAGUUACUCACCACAGUGCUCUUAUUUUGUGCCUCAAGGGAUAGGCAAAAAGCUCUUUCCUGCUCAGCACUUACUUAAUACUUAAAAGAAAUACCCUUUCUUUCUCUAGCAAUGCACUUGUUUUAACAGUGGAAAUACAGGGCACCCAAGAGGUCAAACUCUCUAGAAACCUGGGGCCAAUACUUACAAAGACUGAUGCCCUGUGGGUGACUCAAAAACAACCCUGGAGUCAGAAUUAACAACAUUCUCCACAUACUGUUUAAAUGGUCACUCUUUGUCAGGAGCUGGGUACUUUCUGAAAACUGUUUCUGUAGCCUGCGGCAAGCCUGGGCUUUGGUUGUGAGGCCCAGAGGCUUAGCUUCUUCACCCAAUGCUUGCAAAAUGUUUAUAGCAAACUCAAAUACCUUCCACAGAUUACUCCCAUUCUCCAUCUGAUUUCUUCACCAGCUGUUCUCUGCCUGAUUCAUUGUGCAGAUUUCUUUCUAGUGUUGUGGAUAUUCCCUAGUUACCUACCAUAAUGCUUGGUCUUACAGGUGUAUAGCAUGUUUGCAAUGCUUGUUCAUAUGCUCCCAGGGAAAAAAAAAUCAUAAAAUAUAAUCUUAUGUGUAAUUUUCCUGAAUACUAAAUGCUUUGCCCUAAACUUGAAGAUAGUGUAUCAGUUGAAGGAUGCCAGGAAUUACUUCACCUCAUGUAUAUGUACCUGUUACAGAUUAUAUUCAUUUUCAAAUUAAUUUCAAAGCCAGCUGUUAUUUUUGCUAAAAGUCAUCCUUGAUGGUAUGCUUUAGCAACUACCAUUUAAAACUUAGAGACAACUAGCCGUGCAAUAUGAGGAUUUAAAAAUGCAGUACUUGAGUUGUUUAUUGUGGGUUUUACAUUUUGAGCUUAAGUCUCCUUCUUAAUAUAUUGUCUGUAGGCACUUAAUAAAAUAGAUCUUUAAGGAAAAAUAAAAUAGCUUUACUAUAUAUGUAACAUGCAUAUUAUAAAUAAAGUGUUGGAACUUUUUGGUGAUUUAGUUUUCCUUUAUAAAUACGGGCAUGUAGGUAUUCCUACAGCAAU
rnacentral:lncRNA from 1 species